rnacentral:rRNA from 1 species
UGGGGAAUUUUGGACAAUGGGCGAAAGCCUGAUCCAGCAAUGCCGCGUGUGUGAAGAAGGCCUUCGGGUUGUAAAGCACUUUUGUCCGGAAAGAAAUCCUUGGCUCUAAUACAGUCGGGGGAUGACGGUACCGGAAGAAUAAGCACCGGCUAACUACGUGCCAGCAGCCGCGGUAAUACGUAGGGUGCAAGCGUUAAUCGGAAUUACUGGGCGUAAAGCGUGCGCAGGCGGUUUGCUAAGACCGAUGUGAAAUCCCCGGGCUCAACCUGGGAACUGCAUUGGUGACUGGCAGGCUAGAGUAUGGCAGAGGGGGGUAGAAUUCCACGUGUAGCAGUGAAAUGCGUAGAGAUGUGGAGGAAUACCGAUGGCGAAGGCAGCCCCCUGGGCCAAUACUGACGCUCAUGCACGAAAGCGUGGGGAGCAAACAGGAUUAGAUACCCUGGUAGUCCACGCCCUAAACGAUGUCAACUAGUUGUUGGGGAUUCAUUUCCUUAGUAACGUAGCUAACGCGUGAAGUUGACCGCCUGGGGAGUACGGUCGCAAGAUUAAAAC